rnacentral:rRNA from 1 species
GGUAAGUUGUGGCAAGCAGCCGGGGUAAUACGAAGGGUGCAAGCGGUAGUCGGAAGUCAGGGGCGUAAAGCGUGCGUAGGUGGUUGUUUAAGUCUGUCGGGAAAGCCCUGGGCUCAACCUGGGAAGUGCGAUGGAAACUGGGGGAAUAGAGUGUGGUAGAGGGUAGCGGAAUUCCUGGUGUAGCAGUGAAAUGCGUAGAUAUCAGGAGGAACAUCCAUGGCGAAGGCAGCUACCUGGGCCAACACUGACACUGAGGCACGAAAGCGUGGGGAGCAAACAGGAUUAGAUACCCUAGUAGUC